AGUUUCAAGGUGUAGUUGCAUGGGCGAUUGCAAGUCGCUAGGGGCGGGUGAGACCGCUGAGACUU
rnacentral:tRNA from 1 species